UAUUUGGUUCCUGUGAAACAGGUGAUGGAGUGGAGAAGAUUAUUUACUGCUGUUAGGAUCCAGAACUCUCUGCAAAGCAGGAAAUGAAUGAAACCGAAGACUUUGAAUUAACCUCAAGGUCAAAGAUGUGUUAUUACAUGGUGAUGGACCUUUAAAAAAAAAAAAGUCAAGCUGUGUCUACCAAGUAUUGAGCCU